AUGAACGCUGGCGGCGUGCCUAAUACAUGCAAGUCGAGCGAACAGACGAGGAGCUUGCUCCUCUGACGUUAGCGGCGGACGGGUGAGUAACACGUGGAUAACCUACCUAUAAGACUGGGAUAACUUCGGGAAACCGGAGCUAAUACCGGAUAAUAUAUUGAACCGCAUGGUUCAAUAGUGAAAGACGGUUUUGCUGUCACUUAUAGAUGGAUCCGCGCCGCAUUAGCUAGUUGGUAAGGUAACGGCUUACCAAGGCAACGAUGCGUAGCCGACCUGAGAGGGUGAUCGGCCACACUGGAACUGAGUCACGGUCCAGACUCCUACGGGAGGCAGCAGUAGGGAAUCUUCCGCAAUGGGCGAAAGCCUGACGGAGCAACGCCGCGUGAGUGAUGAAGGUCUUCGGAUCGUAAAACUCUGUUAUUAGGGAAGAACAAAUGUGUAAGUAACUAUGCACGUCUUGACGGUACCUAAUCAGAAAGCCACGGCUAACUACGUG
rnacentral:rRNA from 1 species